rnacentral:rRNA from 13 species
CCGGGCAGGACCCGAGGCCGCAAUGUGCGUUCGAAAAAUCAGUGCUCAAUGUGUCCUGCAAUUCACACCAAAUCUCGCAGCUGGCUGCGUUCUUCAUCGACCCGUGAGCCGAGUGAUCCACUGCUCAGAGUU